rnacentral:rRNA from 1 species
CCUACGGGUGGCAGCAGUGAGGAAUAUUGGUCAAUGGACGAGAGUCUGAACCAGCCAAGUAGCGUGAAGGAUGACUGCCCUAUGGGUUGUAAACUUCUUUUAUAUGGGAAUAAAAUGUUCCACGUGUGGGAUUUUGUAUGUACCAUAUGAAUAAGGAUCGGCUAACUCCGUGCCAGCAGCCGCGGUAAGACGGAGGAUCCGAGCGUUAUCCGGAUUUAUUGGGUUUAAAGGGUGCGUAGGUGGAUUGUUAAGUCAGUUGUGAAAGUUUGCGGCUCAACCGUAAAAUUGCAGUUGAAACUGGCAGUCGUGAGUACAGUAGAGGUGGGCGGAAUUCGUGGUGUAGCGGUGAAAUGCUUAGAUAUCACGAAGAACUCCGAUUGCGAAGGCAGCUCACUGGACUGCAACUGACACUGAGGCUCGAAAGUGUGGGUAUCAAACAGGAUUAGAUACCCCAGUAGUC